CCUACGGGUGGCAGCAGUGAGGAAUAUUGGGCAAUGGGGGCAACCCUGACCCAGCCAUGCCGCGUGAGUGAAGAAGGUCUUCGGAUUGUAAAGCUCGUUCGGACGUGACGAUGAUUACGGCAGCGUCUAAAGACGCACCGGCAAACGUCGUGCCAGCAGCCGCGGUAAUACGAAGGGUGCGAGCGUUGUUCGGAAUUACUGGGCGUAAAGGGAGUGUAGGCGGAUAUGUAAGAUAGCGGUGAAAUGCCGGGGCUCAACGCCGGAACUGCCAUUAUGACUAUGUAUCUAGAGUAAGGGAGAGGAUAGCGGAAUGCGCGGUGUAGAGGUGAAAUUCGUAGAUAUUGGGUAGAACACCGAUGGCGAAGGCAGCUAUCUGGCCAUUUACUGACGCUGAAGCUCGAAAGCGUGGGGAUCGAACAGGAUUAGAUACCCCAGUAGUC
rnacentral:rRNA from 1 species